AUCAUUUUUCCUCGACCGUAUCAACCCAAAUCGAGAGGAUAGCUCUCAUUCUAUUUUCUUCUUCUUCUUCUUCUUCUUCUUCUUCUUCUUCGUUCUUCUUUCUUCUUCUGCUGUUUUUAUUCUUCUGCUGUUUUUAUUCUUCUGCGAGUUUGAGAGAUUGAAUGGGAGCUUUAUCAUCGGUAAGAGAUGUAGAAAAUUAUGGAGUACUGUCAGUGAUGGUGUUGGUGUCUGUUGUUGAUUCAGACUCGAUGAAGAAGUGAAUUGGAAGUUAGGGUUUCCGAGAUUUGAUAAUUGAUUGAAGAUUUAUGAGAAAUUGAGGAUGAAAUCGAGUAAUUAAGAGGGGUUUCUGGUUAAUUGAUGUGGUGUAGCUGUUUUGAUGAAGAAUCGAUGAAUUAGGGUUUACAAGAGAUUCAGAAUAAGAGUUUGAAGAUGAAAUUGGAAGUUUAUAUGGAAGAUUAGAAGAUGGGUUUGAUUGAGUUGAAGGUUUACAUUGAUGUUGUGAAUUCGAAUUAGGGUAGAGAGGAUUGAGAAUCAUUUUAGGGUUUUACUGAAAAAGUGAUGUUGGUGAUGGAGAUGAUUGGGUUUUGGUUAAACUGAAUUGGUAGAUGGUUACUGUCUUAAGAUGACUUGUUGAAUCAAGUCAAGCAAUAAGAAGAGUUCGAUUUCAAUUGGCUUAUCUGAGAUGAACUACUUUGAGGUGUUAGUGCUAAUUGUCUGGAUGAAGUUUAAAUCUCAGGGCUAAGAAGUACUGAGAGUAUGUGUUUGGAUGGUGGUGUUAGUUGUGAUUCUGGUGGAGCAACAAAGUCAAUUUGUGCUGGUGGAGCUAAUGAUAAUGAGGAUGACAUAUGACUGUUAAUGGAAGAAUUGUAGUGAUGAUGUGAAAGUUAAUGAAUAUGUAAUGAUGUUGAAGUUUAUGCUUUGGAGUAUGUUGAAUUGCAAGCAAGAGAACUGGAAUUGCAAGAAUGUGAAGUAGAGGUGUUGUUGGUUGGUACUGAGAUGGAGUUGCAGGUGAUGUUGGUUUGGUAUGUAUAGGGUCUUGGAGAUGUUAAGGAGUUGAAUUGCAGAGUUGAGUAGUUACAGUUGGGGAGAUGUUUUGGUUGUUACAGAGGUUCGUAUUAGAAUGUAGUGAAACUGAAUGAAGAGAAGUUAGAUGGUUGAUUAGAGUGUAGAAGAGUGUAUGGAGUUGAAUCUCUCUUGUAGAAGCUGAGAACUGCUGGAUUGCAGGUAGACUUUAGUUAUAUUUGUAAAUUGAUUGUGAAGUUUUAAAUUGAGAAAUAUAUUGAUUUAUAGUAUACUGUUUAAAUAGAAAUCAUAGUUAAGAGUCU